AAAGUCGUAACAAGGUUUCCGUAGGUGAACCUGCGGAAGGAUCAUUAACGUAUCUCUGGCGGGCCGCCUCUGCGCCCUGCUCCGGUCCAAACGGCCGUGCAGCGGGCGUGUUGGCCCCGUCCAACCUUCACAAACCCACCGUGCACAUUGACGGCAGAAGGGCCCUCCCUCGCGGGGGUUCGGAAGCCGCUUCUACAAACACGCAAACCAUACGAAUGUACAGCGGCCUCAGAGUCGCCUAAAUUUGAAACAACUUUCAACAACGGAUCUCUUGGCUCUC
rnacentral:misc_RNA from 1 species